GACGAACGCUGGCGGCGCGCCUAACACAUGCAAGUCGAACGGAGCUGAGAGAAGCUUGCUUUUCUUAGCUUAGUGGCGAACGGGUGAGUAACGCGUGAGUAACCUGCCCUGGAGUGGGGGACAACAGUUGGAAACGACUGCUAAUACCGCAUAAGCCCACGAUCCGGCAUCGGAUUGAGGGAAAAGGAUUUAUUCGCUUCAGGAUGGACUCGCGUCCAAUUAGCUAGUUGGUGAGGUAACGGCCCACCAAGGCGACGAUUGGUAGCCGGACUGAGAGGUUGAACGGGCACAUUGGGACCGAGACACGGGCCAGACUCCCACGGGAGGGAGCAGUGGGGGAUAUUGCACAAUGGGGGAAACCCUGAUGCAGCGACGCCGCGUGGAGGAAGAAGGUUUUCGGAUUGUAAACUCCUGUCGUUAGGGACGAUAAUGACGGUACCUAACAAGAAAGCACCGGCUAACUACGUG
rnacentral:rRNA from 1 species